rnacentral:rRNA from 1 species
UUUACGGAGAGUUUGAUCCUGGCUCAGGAUGAACGCUGGCGGCGUGCUUAACACAUGCAAGUCGAACGGUGAAAGCGGAGCUUGCUCUGCUGGAUCAGUGGCGAACGGGUGAGUAACACGUGAGCAAUCUGCCCUUGACUCUGGGAUAAGCGCUGGAAACGGCGUCUAAUACUGGAUACGAACCGUGGAGGCAUCUUCAACGGUUGGAAAGAUUUUUUGGUCAGGGAUGAGCUCGCGGCCUAUCAGCUUGUUGGUGAGGUAAUGGCUCACCAAGGCGUCGACGGGUAGCCGGCCUGAGAGGGUGACCGGCCACACUGGGACUGAGACACGGCCCAGACUCCUACGGGAGGCAGCAGUGGGGAAUAUUGCACAAUGGGCGCAAGCCUGAUGCAGCAACGCCGCGUGAGGGAUGACGGCCUUCGGGUUGUAAACCUCUUUUAGCAGGGAAGAAGCGAAAGUGACGGUACCUGCAGAAAAAGCGCCGGCUAACUACGUGCCAGCAGCCGCGGUAAUACGUAGGGCGCAAGCGUUAUCCGGAAUUAUUGGGCGUAAAGAGCUCGUAGGCGGUUUGUCGCGUCUGCUGUGAAAUCCCGAGGCUCAACUUCGGGUCUGCAGUGGGUACGGGCAGACUAGAGUGCGGUAGGGGAGAUUGGAAUUCCUGGUGUAGCGGUGGAAUGCGCAGAUAUCAGGAGGAACACCGAUGGCGAAGGCAGAUCUCUGGGCCGUAACUGACGCUGAGGAGCGAAAGGGUGGGGAGCAAACAGGCUUAGAUACCCUGGUAGUCCACCCCGUAAACGUUGGGAACUAGUUGUGGGGUCCAUUCCACGGAUUCCGUGACGCAGCUAACGCAUUAAGUUCCCCGCCUGGGGAGUACGGCCGCAAGGCUAAAACUCAAAGGAAUUGACGGGGACCCGCACAAGCGGCGGAGCAUGCGGAUUAAUUCGAUGCAACGCGAAGAACCUUACCAAGGCUUGACAUAUACGAGAACGCUGCAGAAAUGUAGAACUCUUUGGACACUCGUAAACAGGUGGUGCAUGGUUGUCGUCAGCUCGUGUCGUGAGAUGUUGGGUUAAGUCCCGCAACGAGCGCAACCCUCGUUCUAUGUUGCCAGCACGUAAUGGUGGGAACUCAUGGGAUACUGCCGGGGUCAACUCGGAGGAAGGUGGGGAUGACGUCAAAUCAUCAUGCCCCUUAUGUCUUGGGCUUCACGCAUGCUACAAUGGCCGGUACAAAGGGCUGCAAUACCGUGAGGUGGAGCGAAUCCCAAAAAGCCGGUCCCAGUUCGGAUUGAGGUCUGCAACUCGACCUCAUGAAGUCGGAGUCGCUAGUAAUCGCAGAUCAGCAACGCUGCGGUGAAUACGUUCCCGGGUCUUGUACACACCGCCCGUCAAGUCAUGAAAGUCGGUAACACCUGAAGCCGGUGGCCCAACCCUUGUGGAGGGAGCCGUCGAAGGUGGGAUCGGUAAUUAGGACUAAGUCGUAACAAGGUAGCCGUACCGGAAGGUGCGGCUGGAUCACCUCCUUU